UACGUAGGGUGCGAGCGUUAAUCGGAAUUACUGGGCGUAAAGCGUGCGCAGGCGGCUUGCCAAGUCAGAUGUGAAAGCCCCGGGCUCAACCCGGGAACGGCGUUUGAAACUGGCAGGCUAGAGUUUGGCAGGAGGGGGGUGGAAUUCCACGGUGUAGCAGUGAAAUGCGUAGAGAUGUGGAGGAACACCGAUGGCGAAGGCAGCCCCCUGGGCCAAAACUGACGCUCAGGCACGAAAGCGUGGGGAGCAAACAGGAUUAGAAACCC
rnacentral:rRNA from 1 species